rnacentral:misc_RNA from 1 species
GCAAACUUGGUCAUUUAGAGGAAGUAAAAGUCGUAACAAGGUUUCCGUAGGUGAACCUGCGGAAGGAUCAUUACAGAGUAACGGCGCCCUCUGGGCGCCUACUCCCACCCUAUGUUUACCCGACCUCUGUUGCUUUGGCGGGCCGGUUCGCGCCGCCGGCCUUUUUUGGCUGGAGAGCGCCCGCCAGAGGACCGUUUAAACCUGUCAAUUGUGGAAUCUGAGUUUUUUGAAAAUUGAAUCAAAACUUUCAACAACGGAUCUCUUGGUUCUGGCAUCGAUGAAGAACGCAGC